CGUCGGGUAGCUCAGUGGUUUAAAGCAGUCGCCCGGCAAGCGAAAGACCCCCCGGGUUCGAUUCCCGGUCUAGCGA
rfam:Harpegnathos saltator strain R22 G/1 HarSal_1.0_3.contig6356, whole genome shotgun sequence.